rnacentral:rRNA from 1 species
AACGAACGCUGGCGGCAGGCCUAACACAUGCAAGUCGAACGGAUGUAGCAAUACAUUAGUGGCGCACGGGUGCGUAACGCGUGGGAAUAUCCCCUUGAGUGCGGAAUAAUGUCUGGAAACGGACACUAAUACCGCAUAAUGACUUCGGUCCAAAGAUUUAUCGCUCAAGGAUUAGCCCGCGUUAGAUUAGCUAGUUGGUGAGGUAAUGGCUCACCAAGGCGACGAUCUAUAGCUGGUCUGAGAGGAUGAUCAGCCACACUGGGACUGAGACACGGCCCAGACUCCUACGGGAGGCAGCAGUGAGGAAUAUUGGACAAUGGGGGCAACCCUGAUCCAGCCAUGCCGCGUGAGUGAUGAAGGCCAUCGGGUUGUAAAGCUCUUUCAGAUGCGAAGAUAAUGACGGUAACAUCAGAAGAAGCCCCGGCUAAAUUCGUGCCAGCCGCCGCAGUAA